UAAAAAUAAAGUUUAAAGAAGCUUUGAAACAUUUUAAGUUAAGUGUUUAUUUCCAGCUGUCAGCAUACAGUCAAUUUUAUCUCUAUAGACAUAUAGAUAGCUUCCAUCUCAUCUUUUCUGCUGAUUGACUGUAUUUGCAUGGUUAUGUAAGUUAAACAUUGGUUUCUCAAUUUAAUUUUUUUUUUUUUUUUUUUUUUUUGGCACCCAGGCUGUUCUCAAACCUGACCAGAAUAACCGGUGUUUAUUGGAGUGGCAGCUACAGAGCUGCAGCAGCCGGAUCAGGCUCAAAGCACCUACAGAAAGGCCUCUGAACUAGAGCCAGAGCAACUGAUUGCAUGGCAGCUGGCCAGAGCGUGGAGCAGGGAAUUCCAGGUGAGGGAGCAUUUGAAAGAACUUUGCAAUUGAUGAUAGAUGUGCCCCGUGAAGCCCACAGGAGCCUUUCACAGGACUACAUUAAAUGUCUUUCCAAGCUUCCUCAUGAGGUGUGGCCAAGCUAAAGGAAGUUUGUGAUGCCACUAUCCAACACACUCCUGCCCUCUAGAGGCCCUCAGUGAGCACUACAUCAGAACUGGUCAGUUUAGGUCAAAUUAAGUCAAUGGAGAAAAAAAAAUACACAUAACCUUUUAUUUUUUAAAUUAAUUGAAAUAGAAAACAACUGUUUUUAUUUGUAAUAAUAUUUGUAAUAAUAUUUCAUAAUAUUAUAGU
rnacentral:lncRNA from 1 species